rnacentral:lncRNA from 1 species
ACGCCAGAACUGGAAGGAGCCUUUGUCCUUUUGUCGAAUCGCCAACAACCGAGACAUCAAUCCCAGCAGCAAGAGCCACCUUUCCUCAUCUUUCUUGUAGCGCGCUCUCACCCACUCUCGCCUUCCCUCCCCAGCUCUCCGAAGCUCACAAGCUGCGGCCUCAUAAAUCUGCGGAGUCGAACACUCCUUUGCGCCCACCAUCACUACGACUGUUCACACGGACACUUACAGACACAACAAAACAACCCUAGACCGCAACAGCUCAGGACAAGCGACCAUAACUCUUUCGG